CAGAAAGAGCUUUCACCGAACUGAAUCUGACUUUAACCGAACAUUUUGAACAACGGCGCGGAACUGAAAGAUAACCUUAUUUUCUCAACUCUGUACCUAUGUUUCUAGAAUUUAAAUUUUCUUGCUAUUGCGAUUUUUGAUUUAUUUUGGCUGCAUAAAACUUUUACGAGAUUUAAUAUAUGUUUUAAUAAUUUUUCAAAGCUCUUAGAAAUCUUUUAAGAGAAUUUUAAACGAUUUUAUUGUGAUAGUCAAUGGUAUUAUGGUUUAUCCCUUGGACGAAUUUUUAUUCGUCUAAGGUUUAUUCUAUCAUUAAAAAAGCAAAAUCAUGAAUCUAGAGAGGUAUGAGGGUGGCGGGAACGUUUAAUUAUUGUGAGAGAUAAUUAAGAUUCAGUAACCAGGAAUUUCAAAGAAAUCAAAACAUGGGGAUAACAAGGAAAUAGAUAAGUAGAGUCAAAGAAAUAACAAAUUACUCAAUGGAAAUGAGAAUAUCUAAUGAAAUAUAAAAUCGAUGUAAUUAUAAAGGAUAUACCAGUACUACUCAAAAAUAAAAUGCAAAAGUUGUAGGCAGUAUUCUUAUAUAUGGGGAGUGUCCUCGGUUUAUUGUUAAAGUUGAUGCAAAUGGCAAGGCAACAAUGCCAGCCAGACGCAAAGGGGCCGAUUUGAGUCAACAAACAAUCAAAUUUAGUCAUGCAAGAUAUAAGGGCAUGAAGAUAAGGCGAACUAAUCCGACAAAACAAAGCUGAUUUGCGUGUGAAGACGGCGUGAAUCACAAUCGCAAAAGGCACGAUGUGAAUGAAAUCAACAAUUAACCAACAAGUUCUUCGAACAUUUACUUCAGAUUUAUUUCUUCGAAUAGCAUUCCAGUAUGAGCCUGAUGCUGAAUAUUAUGUUCAUUCAAAAGUGGUUAUUGGAAACUAUAUGUGGCAUGUUCUCGCAUAAUUAAUAGUAAAAAUAUGGAUUAUUUUUAAUGUUUAGAUAGCUAUUAAGAAUUGUAAUUUGAAAUAAUAUCUUGGCGAUAAAUAACGCACCACCCUUUAUUUCAAUAUCAAAACCUAAAAUGUUAA